AACAGAGUGGUCUGAAGAUAUGCUGUGGAGAGAGUGCAACUGAGGAGAAACAGGCCAGCACAAGGUAUGAUUUCUCAGGGUCUGAGAGCAAUUUCAGCAUGGCCAGUGGAUCCAGAAAUACCGAUCAGAAAAAUGACCAGACGAGAGCAACAAAGAUAAGUAAUGGAACACAUCUGGCUUCAACCCUGUGAGAUUGGGGUUGCUGCAGGGGUCAAACUGUCCUGUAAGCAAAGCGCAAAGUGUGACCAUGUUAAAGAGCUUCAUCAUAAACGCAUUUGAAAUUCCAUGAUAAAAGGGGCUGAUAAAUGGAA